rnacentral:lncRNA from 1 species
GAGGACACAAGGCAGCAGACAUUCCGUCUCUGGUGCUUGCUUGUGGCCUCCCAGGACCUAGGCCUACCUCCAGCUUCUGGUGCAUUCCCUUCAGAGCUCCUGAGAAACCCUGGCCAGCCUCACAGCCCCCAGCAAGCUCUUCUUUCCAAGGCACUCAGCAAUUCGGGUUACCGGCUCAGUUUACCUUGAGCCUACUUACCUGGUCAGCAGGCCUUGCGUCUGAUUUUCUUAACUCGACCACGGUAAGAAGAUGCCCUCCAUCAGCGGGCUGUGCUUGCAGAUGUCGUGGGGCCUCUCUGGAGACUUCCCGAACCCUGUGGAUUUACAGUAAGAUGCAGUUUCCUGGGGAGUAAUUCUGGUGGAUACAAAUUCCGGAGUACUACACCUGGCUUGCCUGGAGAUGUUACAAGUAGUUGGUCGGAUUCUACAGCCUGGAUGCCCACUGAGAACAAGGACUGAAACUGAGAGGACUGUAUCUCUACCCUUGACUCAGUGGGAAUAUUUGCUGUCAUCUCUCGGGUUACCUGGAGCUCCCUCUAAAAUGUAAGCCCCCAAGACCCAUCUCCUUUCAACGCAGUGUUUCUGGUAUGUUUCUGUGCUUUAUACCAAGCUGUCUGUUGAUGUGGCUGCUAGGAGGAGAUCUGCUGUCUUCCAUGUCUGUCUAUGUGUCUGGUAUGAUGCUGGGAGCCUGUGGGAGAAAGACAAAAAGUAGAAGUUGUUCUGAGUUAA